AGACCCGAAACCCGGUGAUCUAGCCAUGGGCAGGUUGAAGGUUGGGUAACACUAACUGGAGGACCGAACCGACUAAUGUUGAAAAAUUAGCGGAUGACCUGUGGCUGGGGGUGAAAGGCCAAUCAAACCGGGAGAUAGCUGGUUCUCCCCGAAAGCUAUUUAGGUAGCGCCUCGUGAAUUCAUCUCCGGGGGUAGAGCACUGUUUCGGCUAGGGGGCCAUCCCGGCUUACCAACCCGAUGCAAACUGCGAAUACCGGAGAAUGUUAUCACGGGAGACACACGGCGGGUGCUAACGUCCGUCGUGAAGAGGGAAACAACCCAGACCGCCAGCUAAGGUCCCAAAGUCAUGGUUAAGUGGGAAACGAUGUGGGAAGGCCCAGACAGCCAGGAUGUUGGCUUAGAAGCAGCCAUCAUUUAAAGAAAGCGUAAUAGCUCACUGGUCGAGUCGGCCUGCGCGGAAGAUGUAACGGGGCUAAAC
rnacentral:rRNA from 5 species